CCUACGGGAGGCAGCAGUAACGAAUCUUCCGCAAUGCGCGAAAGCGUGACGGGGUAAUGCCGCGUGCAGGAUGAAGCCCUUCGGGGUGUAAACUGCUGUCAGGGGUUAGGAAUUUCAUGGCCAGCCCCAAAGGAAGAGCCGGCUAACUCUGUGCCAGCAGCCGCGGUAAUACAGAGGGCUCGAGCGUUAAUCGGAAUCACUGGGCUUAAAGCGUGCGUAGGCGGAUCUUCAGGCCUGUUGUGAAAUCCCACGGCUCAACCGUGGAAUUGCGAUAGGAACCGGAGAUCUUGAGUCAGGUAGAGGCGGGUGGAACGAUAGGUGGAGCGGUGAAAUGCGUAGAUAUCUAUCGGAACGCCAAAGGAGAAGUCAGCCCGCUGGGCCUGUUCUGACGCUGAGGCACGAAAGCGUGGGUAGCAAACGGGAUUAGAUACCCCGGUAGUCCACGCCGUAAACGAUGCGCACUAGACUGAGGGGGCUUGACGCUUUCUCAGUCGUAGCAAAAGUGCUAAGUGCGCCGCCUGGGGAGUACGGUCGCAAGAUUAAAACUUAAAGGAAAUUGACGG
rnacentral:rRNA from 1 species